GGCCGUGUGGCCUAAUGGAUAAGGCGCCGGUCUCCUAAACCGGAGACUGCAGGUUCGAGUCCUGCCUCGGUCG
rnacentral:tRNA from 1 species